rnacentral:rRNA from 1 species
CACGUAGGGACCAAGCGUUGUCCGGAUUUAUUGGGCGUAAAGAGCUCGUAGGCGGUUUGGUAAGUCGGGUGUGAAAACUCAGGGCUUAACCCUGAGACGCCACCCGAUACUGCUAUGACUUGAGUCCGGUAGGGGAGUGGGGAAUUCCUGGUGUAGCGGUGAAAUGCGCAGAUAUCAGGAGGAGCACCGGUGGCGAAGGCGCCACUCUGGGCCGGUACUGACGCUGAGGAGCGAAAGCGUGGGUAGCAAACAGG